CCACGUGGUUUUGGACCAGCAGCCAUACACUGAGGACGGGAGAGAGAGUGCAUCCCGGGGCUCGAGUCCUGGCUGCGAGGGUACAGUGUUUGGGACCCUGGCUCUGUGACCUGGAGCGUUGAGAAGCCUCAGCGAAGACUUUCGAUGCCUCGCAAAGGUCCCACUUACCACAUGACUGCCAGGGCUGGCUGGACACUAGCACCUCCCGAGAGCCCCAGCAUUGAAUGAGGUCACCCUCACCUCCCCAGCUGGGCAGGGCCAGGUCACUCACCCUCAACUUUUCUACCCUUCUAAGCAACGAAGACACAGGCUGCGUUCUCCAGAUAUGCUAGGGUGGUGUCCGGCCUUUCCCCAGGACUAGCCAUGGCUCUCGAAGGGGCACCUAUCUGGUGCAUGCUUACUGUUAUAAUAGGCAUUUUGAGCCAUAGGUCCUCUGAUAAGUUUAGCCACAGAGGCUCAGGUAAGACGCAGGGGAAAUUAGAUUGGGGUGGAGGCCAGGGAGGAGAGCAUCCCUAGACUCACUUGUUC